CCUUUGGACUGUUAUACCAAAUCAAAGUAGUUCUUUAUAACAAAAUGAGACAGGAUGAAGAAGGAA
rnacentral:sRNA from 1 species